rnacentral:rRNA from 1 species
UACGUAGGUGGCGAGCGUUAUUCGGAUUCACUGGGCGUAAAGGGUCCGCAGGGGGCCUGCCAAGUCUGUCGUGAAAUCCCGGGGCUCAACCCCGGGUCUGCGGUGGAAACAGGCGGGCUGGAGUGUGUGAGGGGUAGACGGAACACCUGGUGUAGCGGUGGAAUGCGUGGAUAUCAGGUGGAACACCGAUGGCGAAGGCGGUCUACUGGCACACAACUGACCCUCAGGGACGAAAGCGUGGGUAGCAAACAGG